ensembl:lncRNA
UGGAUUCCAUUAGAAAUAAUAAUUUUAAUUUCAUUGUCAGCAAUUUUCAUCAAUGAAAAUACCAAAAAAACAGAGAAUGUUUCCUCUACCAAGACGAAAUCAAGGAAGCAGUUCUUUACUGUUCCAUUUUUAUAUGUCAGAAAUGACCUAUCCAGUGUCUUUGCCUUUUGCUUUUAGAGCGGUUCUACCAGAUCGGUUUUUCUAAAUAUUAUUUAUAAUAUAAAAUAUAUAUACCAUUACAAUGCUUGUUUUUUUUUCCUCAUACACUUUUUGCAGUUAUAAUGAUCAUGUGGUAAUUAUUACCUGAACUUAGAGUCCGACUGCACUGUUACAUUUUACACAUACUGUUUACUUAGGUUCACAAACAAUUCCCGACAAGGCUUUCUAUAUGAAAAAUGUAAUAAAGUAACUGCAUUACCAAUGAUCAAAGAGAGGGAGCUCUCUUUUGUCUCUAAUCAUCUGUUGAAGCAGGCGUAGAACCUGUUUAACUCGUCGGUGAAGAAGACGUCACUGGCCUUGGGGGCAGGAAUCUUUGACCGGUAGUCAGUAAUGGCUUGAAUGUCCUGCCACAUGCGUUUAGGAUCACAGUUGUUGUUGAAGUGCUCCUAAAUCCGCAGUUUGUGGUCAUGUUCAGCCAUCUUGAUGCCCCUUUUCAAGUUGGUCCUGGAUGAGCUGUAAGCCUCCACAUCGCCGAAUCUGCAGGCAUUGUCACAUGCCUUCAGCAGUUGUCGGACCUCACUCUUCAUCCACAGCUUCUGGUUGGAAGAGCAGCAGCAGAUGUGUAGAGGAGGGAGAAAGCAGUGAUGAAGAAAGAGGGGAGAGAGGAGAUGAAAGACAGGAGUGAGAAGUUACUAAGAUGAGAAGUAGAGACAUUACAGAGUGGAAUAUAAACAUGAACUUAAGGUUCUCACGAGAAUCUUUACUGGUGAGCAGGUCCACUGAGACCUGACAUAUGUUAUAGAAGUAUUACAUUUUUUACAUAGCAAAUUUACAAAUUUAAUAAAGAAAGUGCUGUAUAUUAGCCCGAAGAUGACUGGUUAACCCACUGAGCCUGGUUCCUCUCUAGGUUUCCUAAAUUUCGGCUCCCUUUAGGGAGUUUUUCCUAACCACUGUGCUUCAACACUGUUGUUGCUUGCUCCUUGCGGUUUCGGGCUGGGUGUUUUGCACUUUAUAACAACUGCUGUUGUAAAAAAGGCAUUAUAAAUACAUAGUAUGAUGUACAAUGUUCCUAGAGUUUCUGUCUGUUGUAGUAUGAUGUACAGUCUUACUAGAGUUUCUGUCUGUUUUAGUAUGAUGUACAGUAAUACUACAUGUUUUGUCAGUUGUAGUGUGAUGCACAGUGAUACUAGAGUUUCUGUAAGUUGUAGUGUGAUGUUCAGUGAUACUAGAUUUUCUGUCAGUUGUAGUGUGAUGUUCAGUGAUACUAGAGUUUCUGUCAGUUGUAUUGUGAUGUUCAGUGAUACUAGAGUUUCCGUCAGUUGUAGUGUGAUGCUCAGUGAUACUAGAGUUUCUGUCAGUUGUAGUGUGAUUUUCAUUGAUACUAGAGUUUCUGUCAGUUGUAGUGUGAUGUUCAGUGAUACUAGAGUUUCUGUCAGUUGUAGUGUGAUGUUCAGUGAUACUAGAGUUUCUGUCAGUAGAGUGUGUUAUUUUGUUGUUUUGAUGUCUUCAAUAUUAGUCUACAAUGUAAAAAGAAAUACCCUUAACAGUAGUUGUGUCCAAACAUUUGACAGGUACUUUACACAUAUAUUUAAAAGAAAACACUUACCACCCAAAUAAAUUGCUUUAUUUUGACUUUCAGGUGCACAGUACUUUUGCACAGUACUGUAGAUAACAGAUGUUCCAUAAUUAGAGAAACAUACCUUUAAAUGGGUUUUAGGGUCUUUGACGUAUUGUAUGUAUUGUAUGUGUAUGAGGCUAUCAUGAGUCUUUUUCCUCUUAAUACUCUCCCAAUACUCCAGAGAACACUGGAUGCAUCAAUAUUGAACAACGACAGACCUGUAUCAAAUCUCCCUUUUAUAGCUGUCACGUUUGUUGAUUAGGAGACGGAGGCAGGUGCAGAAGGUUGAGGGUUGCCCCUUUUUAUUUAACAAAAAAUAAAGAGAACCAAACAGAGUGCCGGGCACUGCAGAAAUACCCCAGAGUUCAGGGGUUCACAAGAGCACAAGAGCACAAGAGCACAAGAGCACAAGAGCACAAGAGCACAAGAGCACAAGAGCACAAGAGCACAAGAGCACAAGAGCACAAGAGCACAAGAGCACAAGAGCACAAGAGCACAAGAGCACAAGAGCACAAGAGCACAAGAGCACAAGAGCACAAGAGCACAAGAGCACAAGAGCACAAGAGCAUGACGGGCAUACACGCACAAUGACCAACAAUAACAGGGAGAAAAUGGCUGAACUAAAUACACUGAGAAACGAGGAGAACAGAAACAGGUGGGGGCUAAAACACAGGUGAAAUGAAUAUACCGAUUAACUAAAACAAGAACAGGAAAGACCAUACAAGGGUAAGACAAGGACACAUAGAAAACACGAAGUGGAAUGGUCCCUUCAGGAAGGGACCGUUACAAUAGCCAAGAUCAUUGAGAAAGAGUUUUGACCUGACUCCAGGUUUGCAAAUCUAAAAUAAAGCUUUACUUGUGAAAAUACUUUACUGUCUUUGUGCUUUUCCCAUUUAGUGGUUUCCAUGACACUUUCUUAGACACAUUUCAGUCAGGCUUUUACCACAGUACUGAACCGGCUCUGAUAAAAGUUUUAAAUGAUAUUCGGAUAAAAUAACUGUUCUGGUUCUAUUAGAUCUCAGUGCUUCAUUUGACUCGGUAGAUCAUAGAACACUUCUGGACAAGCUGGAAAAUUGUGUAGGACACUCCGGGAAAGUCCUUAAUUUGUUCAGAUCUUAUUUAGAUGGUCGGGGUUAAUUGGUCACCAUUGGCAAUCAUGAAUCUGAUAGGGUGGCUAUGACCUGAAAAGUUCCCCAGGGAUCAGUUCUCAGACCACUUCUGUUCAAUCUCUAUAUGCUACCUCUGGGCCACAUUCUUUCUUUUCAUUCUUUCUUUCACUGAAGAAACCAACACACAAAUUCAUUACAUUUCACAGUGGACACGAGUUCUGAUGAUUUCUGCUUUAAGAGGUUUCUAAGCUUGUCAACCAUGGCAAAAAGAGUGUGGGUAUUUUUGAUAUUCUUAUUGAUCAUUCCAGAUAAAUGUUGCUGUAUAGCCAUGCGUAACUCAUAGAUCAAGCUACCAAGGCUUUAUUUGUAAAACAGUGUGACGUGACUGACAUCUCUGAAUAGGAUGGCUUGGAUCAUGAAGCUCAGUGUGUUUUUUUGGCUGUUCUGAUCUGAACAAUCCACACAGACCUGGACAUCAAGACUGAAGAAGAGUCCUGUUACUUUUCCAUUCCUAAUGAUGGAGGCUGCUGUUCGAUCAUCACAUCCCCAGAAGGAGGGAUCCGGAAGUGGAAAAUAUCCAUCCCACUUGAUAAUUCCACACUGGCUGGAGAGACGAAGGAUCUACUGAAACUGAAACAGGAUCAGUUUAUAUCCAGACAGACUCACUCAAUCAGACUCUGGAAACGACAUGACGAAGUGUUGGAGAGACGGCAGGGUGAUGGACCAGGAGAGGGUGAUGGACCAGGAGAGGGUGAUGGACCAGGAGAGGGUGAUGGACCAGGAGAAGGUGAUGGACCAGGAAAGGGUGAUGGACCAGGAGAGGGUGAUGGACCAGGAGAGGGUGAUGGACCAGGAGAGGGUGAUGGACCAGGAGAGUACUGAUCUAGUUUGCAGUGGUCCAGGUAAGAUGAAGCAAAUGCAUGCUAAUCCAGGAGAGACAGAGAAGCUGCAGUGUGAGGGAUGGUGACAAUAUGACGGUAAGAUGGUUCCAUAAAGGAAGAGACAAAAUAGUACAGUUCCUCUCUUUUCAAGAGCUCCUUUCUUUUCAUCAGCAACAUUCCUUUGGACAACACCCUGCAUUUUGAUUAUAUGUGUGUGGUACUGGUGGGACAGCUUUGUGUUCACAUACAGGUUUUUAUUAUUAUACAUUGGUCACAGGUGUUGUCUCUGUCAGUGGGAGAGGAGGCUGCACUGCCCUGCUUUAACCACGAUGAACCCAAUGGAACAGAGACAUGUUGGAAACACAGGGCCUUUGGAUUCAUCAGAUGGGACCCCAAUCAUCUCACUGGUGGAGGGAAUCAGAUGUAUGUGUCAGAUGGAAGAACAUCAGGAAACUUCUCCCUGGUCAUCCCAUCACUGAUGCUCAACCACUCAAGUUAUUACGUGAGCAAUGGAAAAACAUACGCGAAAGGCUGUCAACCACUCAGCUGAUUAUGUCUGCUAUUACGUGACACCAAAAGGGUAUCAUGACAUAAAAGGCCAUGAACUCCUGACGUGUCCCUAGUCUGAUCCACUCACAGUGUUCUUCUCAG